rnacentral:rRNA from 1 species
UACGAAGGGGGCUAGCGUUGCUCGGAAUCACUGGGCGUAAAGGGUGCGUAGGUGGAUAUUUAAGUCAGGGGUGAAAUCCUGGAGCUCAACUCCAGAACUGCCUUUGAUACUGAGUAUCUUGAGUUCGGGAGAGGUAAGUGGAACUGCGAGUGUAGAGGUGAAAUUCGUAGAUAUUCGCAAGAACACCAGUGGCGAAGGCGGCUCACUGGCCCGAUACUGACGCUGAGGCACGAAAGCGUGGGGAGCAAACAGG